rnacentral:rRNA from 1 species
UACCCAACAACUAGCCUCAAACCAAACCCAACAAAACACUAUUAAUAACCCCUCAAACCCUAUAAAUAUAAAACAAACCAUUUUUCCCCCCUAGUAUGGGCGACAGAAAAG